rnacentral:rRNA from 1 species
GUAGGGAAUAUUGCGCAAUGGGGGAAACCCUGACGCAGCGACGCCGCGUGAGUGAUGAAGGCCUUCGGGUCGUAAAGCUCUGUUGCAGGGGAAUAAAAAAAUGAAGGUACCCUGUGAGGAAGGAUCGGCUAACUUCGUGCCAGCAGCCGCGGUAAGACGAGGGAUCCUAGCGUUGCUCGGAAUCAUUGGGCGUAAAGAGGGCGUAGGUGGCUUGGUAAGUCAGGUGUGAAAGCCCAGGGCUCAACCCUGGAAGUGCAUUUGAUACUGCUGAGCUUGAGUGUCGGAGAGGUUACCGGAAUACCUGGUGUAGCGGUGAAAUACGUAGAUAUCAGGUGGAACACCGGAGGCGAAGGCGGGUAACUGGACGAACACUGACACUGAGGCCCGAAAGCGUGGGGAUCAAACACGAUUAGAAACCCUGGUAGUCC